rnacentral:rRNA from 1 species
UACGUAGGGUGCAAGCGUUAAUCGGAAUUACUGGGCGUAAAGCGUGCGCAGGCGGUUAUGUAAGUCAGUUGUGAAAUCCCCGGGCUCAACCUGGGAACUGCAUCUGUGACUGCAUAGCUAGAGUACGGUAGAGGGGGAUGGAAUUCCGCGUGUAGCAGUGAAAUGCGUAGAUAUGCGGAGGAACACCGAUGGCGAAGGCAAUCCCCUGGGCUGACACUGACGCUCAGGCACGAAAGCGUGGGGAGCAAACAGG